rnacentral:rRNA from 1 species
ACUCAAAGGAAUUGACGGGGGCCCGCACAAGCAGUGGAGUAUGUGGUUUAAUUCGAAGAUACGCGAAAAACCUUACCAGGGCUUGACAUCCCUAGAAAUCUGCGGAAACGCGGAUGUGCCUUUUUGGAACUAGGUGACAGGUGGUGCAUGGUUGUCGUCAGCUCGUGUCGUGAGAUGUUGGGUUAAGUCCCGCAACGAGCGCAACCCUUACUGUUAGUUGCUAACAUUCAGUUGAGCACUCUAAUGGGACUGCCGUUGACAAAACGGAGGAAGGUGGGGACGACGUCAAAUCAUCAUGCCCCUUAUGUCCUGGGCUACACACGUACUACAAUGGCUACUUACAACGGGCAGCGAAGGCGCGAGCCGGAGCAAAUCCCCAAAAGUAGCCCCAGUUCGGAUUGCAGGCUGAAACUCGCCUGCAUGAAGUUGGAAUUGCUAGUAAUCGCGGAUCAGCAUGCCGCGGUGAAUACGUUCCCGGGCCUUGUACACACCGCCCGU